UGAUGCUUUGCCCGUAAACAGUCACC
rnacentral:piRNA from 1 species